GAUGAACGCUGGCGGCGUGCCUAAUACAUGCAAGUCGAGCGAACAGACGAGGAGCUUGCUCCUCUGACGUUAGCGGCGGACGGGUGAGUAACACGUGGAUAACCUACCUAUAAGACUGGGAUAACUUCGGGAAACCGGAGCUAAUACCGGAUAAUAUAUUGAACCGCAUGGUUCAAUAGUGAAAGACAGUUUUGCUGUCCCUUAUAGAUGGAUCCGCUCCGCAUUAGCUAGCUGGUAAGGUAACGGCUUACCAAGGCAACGAUGCGUAGCCGACCUGAGAGGGUGAUCGGACACACUGGAACUGAGACACGGUCCAGACUCCUACGGGAGGCAGCAGUAGGGAAUCUUCCGCAAUGGGCGAAAGCCUGACGGAGCAACGCCGCGUGAGUGAUGAAGGUCUUCGGAUCGUAAAACUCUGUUAUUAGGGAAGAACAAAUGUGUAAGUAACUAUGCACGUCUUGACGGUACCUAAUCAGAAAGCCACGGCUAACUACGUG
rnacentral:rRNA from 1 species